rnacentral:rRNA from 1 species
GAAAGUUCCGGCGGUUUAAGAUGGACAUGCGUUGUAUUAGUUAGUUGGUGAGGUAACGGCUCACCAAGGCGACGAUACAUAGGGGGACUGAGAGGUUAACCCCCCACAUUGGUACUGAGACACGGACCAAACUCCUACGGGAGGCAGCAGUGAGGAAUAUUGGUCAAUGGACGCAAGUCUGAACCAGCCAUGCCGCGUGCAGGAUGACGGCUCUAUGAGUUGUAAACUGCUUUUGUACGAGGGUAAUAUCAGAUACGUGUAUCUGCUUGAAAGUAUCGUACGAAUAAGGAUCGGCUAACUCCGUGCCAGCAGCCGCGGUAAUACGGAGGAUCCAAGCGUUAUCCGGAUUUAUUGGGUUUAAAGGGUGCGUAGGCGGUUUUAUAAGUUAGAGGUGAAAAUUCGGGGCUCAACUCCGGACGUGCCUCUAAUACUGUAUGACUAGAGAAUAGAUGCGGUAGGCGGAAUGUAUGGUGUAGCGGUGAAAUGCGUAGAGAUCAUACAGAACACCGAUUGCGAAGGCAGCUUACCAAACUAUGUCUGACGUUGAGGCACGAAAGCGUGGGGAGCAAACAGGAUUAGAUACCCUGGUAGUCCACGCAGUAAACGAUGAUAGCUCGUUGUCGGCGAUACAUU